rnacentral:sRNA from 1 species
AUGCACCACGCGUACACUGUGGCUGUGAGCGCCAUCCACGCCCACAUGACGACUGCUCGCUAUAUUUUAUUCGCC